rnacentral:tRNA from 1 species
UGUCCAGGGGCGGGAAUCGAACCCACAACGUUCCGCUUACCGGGCAGAUGCCAUGUCCACUAGGCUACCUUGUU